GGCGAGGGGUGCCGGGUGGUUUCCGCCAGGCAGCCCGCAGCCCGCCGCGACCCGGGCAGCGUCUCCCGGCGGUGGGAGGGGGCGGCGUCCACUCGGUUCCCGGCCCGUCGCGGCCCCGUCAGCCUCCCGCUCGGGGCGCGCCGCCCUUAGUCUGGGUCUCUGCCGCCAGGACCCGCGGCCGCGAGCUUCGAAGCGCGGCUUCCCUGGCCGGCUGCGCGAUGGGCUGCGGGAACUCCACCGCCACCAGCGCGGGCGCGGGCCGAGGCCCUGCAGGAGCAGCCAAAGAUGUAACAGAAGAAUCCAUAACAGAAGAUGACAAGAGGAGAUUCCACCAGGAAAACUAUUGGCACAGAGAAUACAGAAACUAUGGAGGAGUAUAUGUUGGCCUACCAUCUGAAGCUGUCAAUAUGGUGUCCAGUCAAACAAAGACGGUUCGGAAAAAUUAGAAGAAAAUAACAUCAUGACUCAAGAAUCAAGAGCUUGCUCAUCAAUUUGGAAGGAAUUUGGCUCCGUGGGACAUUGUAAUGUGCACAGACAUUUCCAAGGAAAUUCUAAACAGUCACCCUUCCCUUUUGCAUUCCCCCAAAUCUUAAGUGUGUACGUAAAACCCUGGGUACAUAUUGUUGUGGUAAUAGAAGGGAAUUGGUUAAACAGUACACUUGUUUAUGGAACUUUCUGUGGCCACCUACAAAAGACAAGUUAACAAACUGUCAUGGAGGCUGUUGUUGCCCAUCCAGGGCCGCUGCAUUUGACAACAUUUCCACCCUGGCCACUCAACACAUUUCAUGGAAGUCAUGUCUUUUCACUGAUACUUUUUUGAUAGUUUUUAUAUAACAAAAUCCUUAUUCUAUUUAUAACUUAAGAUGAUAAGGCACUAUAAAUGAAUGACCUAAAAUAAUAUAUUUGUCUAUUAUCUUUCGCUAUUUCUACUUCACUUUAAUUUUUAGCUGUAAAAUUGGUAAAUGGAUUCUUACAACUAUCUCUUUCCAUUUUUUACUAUUUGGUUAUCAAAUUUCAUUUAAGUGUCAGAAUUUCCUUUUUAGGAACAAUGUGUAUUUCAUUGCAAUAUUUAAAAAUAAACUCAAAUUUGCAUGCCAUAUGCACAUUUUGAUUACCUUUUUAUUUUCUUUCAUGAAAGGCAUGUGCAACUAUGAAUACUUCAUAGUCAUUUGGGUUGCUCAUUCUACAUCACGACAUCUCAUCAUAUUAAUUCUAUAACUGCUUUCAAGGACUUGUGAUGGAUGGUUAGUGGGAUAUCUGGAAAUUAAUUUGAUAAUGAGUUGUGUAUCUACUUAGUAUUGCAAUGUAAGUUACUCAAUUUACCAAUGUAUUUCAACAAUUAAAACGUUUUUAUCCCUCUUCA